CAGUUGGCUGGCCACAACAGGAGGGUUAAGGCAGAGAUUCUUCAGCCAGAAUUUAAAAAUCAGCAUCUGAAGGCCAAGGGUGGACAUGUGUACAAGUGCCAGUGGAAAAUGGCUUUUCUGGAAUAUCAGGUUUGGUCCUAAGAGACUAAGGGCACUCCACGUGGUGAGCAAUAAAUCUGGAUUCUGCUGUGUUUAAUUAAGCGUGUCACCAGCAUGGAAUGCGACCAUGGAUUGGCCUGUGACGAGCCUCCUUCUCCUAGAGAGAGAAGUUCUAGCCUCGUCUUCUGCUCCUGUGGAGUUUUCCAUUGCUUGGAAAUGGUUUGUAAGGUGAUGGAGUCCCAUGGAUGCCAGCUGGCAAAGGAAGAUCAGAGAAGGAGGAGAAGUUGAGUCAGUGGAGGGGAAAGAUUGCUGGAUGAUAUUUUCUUCACAGCUGUAGUGUCAAUAAAUAAAGACUUUGAUCACCCAU